CCCACAUCCCUACCCUAUUAUACUGACCCUGAAUAUGGAAGUAGGCUUUUCCAAGUAGUAUCAAGUACCCAUCUAUGAUGUGAACCUGAGCAGGGCAGAUCAGAGCCAGCCACCCUUGCCUACCAUCUCAGGUAUUGAAAGCUCAAGUCUUGCAGCUACCCAGGCACUUCUUAGCUGCUUCCAUGAUGAUCCCCCCCACAAUCCCCAUGAUAGAACUUGGAGGUCACUGAGUGCCAGAAAACCUGAAAUUCCUUGAGUUCUCCUGUCCAUCCAUGCUCACGUCCACUUACCCCUACUUUACUACUCUGAUAUGGUUAAACAUCUUUGAAGAACUUCACCAAAUGCUUCUUUCUUCAUCAGGCUCAUGCUAGGAAACUGACGAAUAUGAGAACCACUCAAAGAGGCUGAAUCUUCCUUGAGGAAAGCAAGACCCUGAGACAGUGAUUCUGGAACAGCUCCUCACUGAGUCAGUGACAUGGGAACCACAUCUGAGUGACUUCACCGAGCCCCGUUACCUCUUACCUAUGACCUGAAUGAUCAUGUGAAAUCCCUCAAGAAUUGAGAACCAUGUAGCAAACGUGUCCCUGAUCAGCCAUGACAAAUUAUAAAUCAGACAAGACACUCUGGGAGAUGCCAGUCAAGAGAGCUGAGCUGCCAUCUUCUCCACAGUCACAGAGUGGCUUCUCUGGACACAAAAGCAGCACACAAAUGUCGGGCCACUCUUACCUUUUCUAUAAACUGUAGUAAUACAUCUACUCAAGUUCUGUGACUCAGGCCAGUAGCCCCUCUCAAAUGGAAAGGCAUGGCAGUGUGUGUUGGUAGCCAUCUCCCCAGGCCAGUGUUUCCACUUUCCUGGCCAACAAGGCAGGGAAGAAUGUGCAGACGGUUCUCAUAACUCUGCUGUGGCUGAGCUCUGACUUGACCCACGCAAUGGAGGGACUCAGCAAGUGCGUUGGACUCACAGCUUCUGUCCAUAGCAGGUAUCUGUUAGAGUGACUGUUGGUUCCCGAGCACCCCUCUAACAGCCUGUAUUACUUUCUCAUUGCUCUCACAAAACGCUUGCCAAAGGCAACCUAAAGAAGGCUUUCUUUCGGGUCUCAGUUUGAGACUACAGUUCGUCAUGGAGGGAGGACAUGCGGUAAAAGCGUGACUCGGCUGGUGAGAACUUCCCAGCUGUCCAGAAGCUGAGGCGGAUGAAUGGUGGUACUCAGUCUGAUUUCUUUUUUGUCUUCAGUCUAUGACCCGAACCAUGGGAUAAUGUCACCCAUGUUUAGGGUGGGUCUUCCCUCUUCAAAGCCUUCCUAAAAUCACACCUGGUGGUCUGUUUCCAUGGAGAUUUUAGAUCCAGUCAACUUGGCAGCCACACAGACUUCGUUCUUCUCACGUUCAUUCACCUCGCCUUUCCACCUCUUCUCUGCCUCGAGGGGUCCUGACUUUAAAGGGCUGAGAAUCAACCACCUGAAGACAGCUUCUGCCACUCCAUGCCCUGGCGUCUUUUGCGACUGGCAACGAGAGUUGUCUGCCGUACCAGCUCUUUCCCCCACAUUCUAAGAGAACAAGAUUAAGCCUCUCAGUUUGCUUCUCAAGCCAUGGUUGGGGGGGAGGUGCUGUAAAUCCAGCUUGCGGUCGUCUGUCCUGCUAGUCAAUCAGCUUGAAACAGUAAAUGAAGAAACUACAUUCUUCUGCCAUUUCAUUAAUCAAUUUCCUCGUCUCUGGCUCUUGCCCUCCACAUUCCAGACAACUAAACCAUCACCAGCAGUCCCUGUAAACCAUGAGUUGUGUUCAGCUUCUAGCAAAUGUUCUACAUGAAUGUGUGCUCCUCAUAAUCAUACAGUGUGCACCUUUCCAGACCAGCUCUUCCACUGAGCAACAUGCACUUAAGGUUCAUCCAAUACUUGGUUUCUUUUCAUUCUUUAGCAACAUUUUAGAUGCAUAUCCCACAGUUUUUGUUUUCAUUUACCCACUUGAAAGCAUAUUGAUUGUUUCAAAUUAUUGGUGAUCAUGAAUAAAGCAGAUAUAAAUAUUUCUGUAUAUUUUUGUGUGGACAAAUGCUUUCAGUAAUAAAUGCAUUAGAGUAAUACCAUGAGCACGAUGGUCUGAUCAUUUGGUAAGAUGUGUUUGAUUUUGUGAGAAGCUAGCAGACUGUCUUCCCAAGUACCUGCACAGUCUUCCUUUCCAAGAUUUCUGUGUAAACAUUCUGGCUUCUCAGCUUCUGCCCCAGCAUUUGGUACUGUUGGUGUUCUGGACAUUAGCAUCCUGAAGCGCCUUCACUGGGUUCUUAGCUGUAUUAUUAUUUCAGAGUAUCUUAAAAAUAUACUUCCUUCUCCUGGCUCUGCAGUUUCUAACUUUGUAUUUGAGAGAUGAGAUUUAGAACCUCCAUAAAAUUGUAAGAUAGCAUGAUAUUUUCUGGGAGAUGGGAAUUAUUCUUAUUAUUAGAACCUUGUUUUGAUUUUUUUGAGACAGAGCUUCAUAUAGCUCAGUGUUUUAGUUUGCUUUCUGUUGCUGUGAUUAAAAUACUCUGACCAAAGCAACUUAGGGGAGGAAAGGAUUUAUUUGGCUUACACUUCUGUUUCACAAUCCAUCACUGAGGAAGUCAGGGCAGGAUCUCAGAGCGGAACUUGGAGGCAGGAACCCUGGAGGGAUGCUGUUUUAGCUUGCUUUCUGGCUUGCUCAUGCUUCGCUAGCUUUCUUAAUCUGCCUAGGGAUGGUGCCCACUGUGGGCUGGGCCCUCCUAUAUCAAUUAAUAAUCACGAUGACCUCCCACAGGCCAAUCUGUUCUAGAAAAUUCCUCAGUCAAGGACUUCCUUCUCCGAGGACCCUGGGAUGUGUCAUGCUGACAGUCAAAGCUAACUAGGAUACUCAGGCUGGCUUCAAACUUGCCAUGUAGCUGAGGCUAGCCUUGAACUUGUGAUCUUCCUGCUUCCCACUCCCAAGUGCCAGGAUUACAGACAUACACUACUGCAUCCAGCUUGUUAUUGGAAUUUAAAAGAUGUUUGUCAGCUACAAAGACAAAGCAUCUGUGUGUUAGAAGGUUUUAAUAAUAUUUUUAAACAUUCAGUAACUCUUAACCAAAGUCUUCUGAUUUAGAGUCCAUGAUUCUAAAGAUAUUAAAUGAAAGAUAAUCCCAUUUAUAACCAUCCAACAAGGUUUUGGAGCAUCUGUAGUGGGACAGGCAAAAUAUGAGGCCUUGGAGAUACACAACUUAACAACACAUGGUCUCUGUUCUCAAGAAAUUCAGCCCCCAGCUUCCUGUAGUCAGUCUGCAGUUAAAGGGGUAGACUCCAAGGCUGCUCUGCCAUUUUGCAGGUUCCCUCUGCAAGCUCAGUGCUGGUUAUUCUGUUAAUAUUCUGAUCCGCCCCUUGAAAUCCCACCCCUUGGCUCCGCCCUGCAUCUUGACUUAAAAGCCUCAUUCUAAGGAAAAACUCCUCCCCUUCCUCUCUCUCUUCCGCUUUUCCUCCCACGAGGUGUACACCCUUGACCCACCCCCCUUUCUCUUUCUCUCUUCUUCUCUCUUUCUGUCUCCCUCUUUCCUAUCUUUCUCUUCAUCUCUCUAUUAUAAUAAACUCUCUACAUGGAUGCAGCGUGUGGAUUGUGAAUUACUGGCUGCUGUCACCGCCGCCAUGCCUGCAUGGCAUGCAUCUGCCCAGCCAGUUGCUGCAUCUGCCCAGCAUGUUUCCUUGCAUAUGCAGGAUACCCUUGGGGGUCCCCCUGCGCAAUAAUUCGUAUCAUUGGCACCCCCACUGCUUUCUCCUGCCCACCGGCAGUCUUAUGAACUCUGGGAUCCUGUAUCACCCGCCAUUUUUCAGGCUGGAGCACCACCAGGGACUCUUCACCCUACCAGAUUGGUAACAUUCCUCCCCUUCCUUCUGCCAUUUUCCCACAAGUGAGGAUUAAUCUUGUUUCACUUGCUGGUGCCAUGCCCCUAUGUGACAGCAUAUGGAGACAGCCUGUGCCCACUCAAUUCCACGGCCCAUAGCCUUUGUUACAAUGGUCCAUUGUCUAUCUUGCACCAUUCAUUAGUCCUCACUGAUUCUCUGGGAUGCUGGAGGUCAGAUUCCAGAUUCGUCUCAUUUUGCUUGCUGGAACCAUGUGUCUUUUGGGCUCAUAGCCCUUUGGCCCUCAUCCCAAUUCGACAACAUAUGGAGACCGCCUGUGCCCUCUCAAUUCCACGUCCAUAGCCUUUGCGAUGACAGGUCAUUGGCUAUCUUGUGCUGUUAUCAUUGGACCUCGCUGAUCCUCUGGGAUGCCAGAGGUCAGUCCCCUGGGCCUUAUACAUCAUUGUGCCCCCACCACCACCACUGCCGCCAACCCAUGGCUUUGUUUGUUCCUGAUAUGGCCAUCUAUAUUUCUUUCUGACAGACAUUUACAUGCUUCAAUUUAUCUGUUCCUUAUCUGCUCAGUUUAUUUAAAAAAAACAAACAACAACUACAACAAAAAUACCACACGAACAUGUGGUCAGGUGCCAUAUUUCUAGGGGCAAUCACGUGAUCAGGCUGCACCAUCUUAAAUAAGGGCAACCACAUGGUCAAGCCACCAUCUGAAAUAAGGGCAACCGUGUGGUUUAGCCGCCAUCUUGGCUAAGGUCAAAACAAGCAGGUCAUAUGACCUCACUGCCAUCUUUACUAAGGGCAGCAUGGGUGGGGCACUAGCACUCAGGCUGUUGGUAGUCAGUAUGGAGGGAGGUUAGGGAAUUGCCUCUCACUGCACAUUGUUUCACCGUUGUUUUAUAGGCCGAGGAAAAGUCCUCUGGCCUUGGCCUGGCAUUCCCCAGAUGCCUCUCUCAGGCUUGAGCUGUCUGGGCAGGGUGGAGGUCCAGUCACAGCCCGCUGUUUUUUUUCUCCUAGGCUGCUUGUGUUGGCAGGGCGGAGAGGUAUGCGCUACCUCCAGGGCAUCAGCGGAACCACGUACAGACGGUAUUAUAUUAAGAUUUUAAAAUUUCAGAUCUUAACAUUAAUACAAUUCUGAUACACUUUGGGGUGCAAGCUCAGGAUUUUAAAUUUUCCUUGGUUACUCAUUACCUGCUUUUCCACAAUUUGGAUUUCAGUACUGAUUGAUAAUACUAAUUUAUCUAAAACUUUUAUUUUUUUCUCAUUUGCCUCUUCCUAAGGAUGGUAUUUUUUUCUCUCUCUCCUGGACUUGGGACUCCUGCUCUUCCCAAUUAUUAAGACCAUGCACCAAAAGGCUCCAAAUAAAUUCAUAAAUUUUUUUUUUUUUUUGGUUUUUCGAGACAGGGUUUCUCUGUGUAGCUUUGUGCCUUUCCUGGAUCUCGCUCUGUAGACCAGGCUGGCCUUGAACUCACAAAGAUCCGCCUGCCUCUGCCUCCCAAGUGCUGGGAUUAAAGGCGUGCGCCACCACCGCCCGGCUAAAUUCAUAAAUUUUAACCCCCAUCUCUAGUCCAUAUUUCAGCAGGCUGGCAAACACAUCGAAGCAGCUGUUGUGGACCACAACCUGCAGCGCUUUCCCUUACCUUUAACUAGUCAGAAUCCUCCUGACCUCCUGCGCCCUGUUUCAGCUUAAAGCAGCUAUGGAGAAUACGUUGUUCUGUGCUCCCUGUUCCCAGGACAGGCUGGAGGGCUACGUUAGGGAUGGAAACCCUGGCAUAGAGUCCACCAAGAGGGUCCUUUUCCUUUUCUCAGAGGGUCCCUUCCUCAGAGUUGGGCUGCACCCCGACUCACAAGCCCCUUUUCUCUUGUUCUCAUUUGGCCUUGGGAUCUUCCCCUGUUGCUCUUCUUUGCCUUCUCAGGAGACAGAUUAAGAAAUAAUUAUUUCUAUAUAAGUCAUUCAGGGUUAUAAUCUGGCUGUACUCACAGAUCAGAACUACAGCUACAGGGCCUUAAAAAUGUUAAUAGAUUCAGAUAUCACUGUCUAUGGCUUUAAAAAUGGCUCUCCUUACUCAAGGUCUAUUCAGGCUUAAGAAUGUGAGCCUCCCUGUCCCUGCUAACUUCAUUAAGCUGUAACUAACUGGGAAACCUGUAUAUCCACAUCUAACAGGUUUUGUUCCCCCCAGUCCUCAAACACCUGUAGAGAUCUGAGAAUUUGCCAUUUAAUAUAAAAGCCUUUUUAUGAUAAAGAGACAUGUCAGCUCCUAGCAGCAUCCUGUAUCUCCUCCAAGAAGAUAGAUGUCCGCAGAAGAAUUUCCACUCGGAAGCUUAUGGCAAGGCUAGUCACACAGCGAAAAGCUGAGAUCCUGUCCAGACUGUGAAUAAAUGGAACAACGGAGGACAGAUGGCCCUAUACUACAAAGUCAAGGUGGGUCAGUCUCCCCAAAUUUCUACUCCACAGAAAAAAAUCUGUCAGAUCUUCUGGGCUUAUCAGCUGAACAAGUGCUGCCUUUGGGGCUUCUGUCCCCCAGUGACCACGGGGAUUGCUGCCUAGGUAGCUGGAAAGCUGUCUCACUUCUUAAAUUUAUCCUUCUCAUAUCUGACGGUAUUUGAUGACUAGGGUAUCAGUUUAACGGCCCCAAUCCAAAGAUUAUAUAUACAUGCUCUCCAAUUACAGAUAGGUAUGCCUCAUUCACAGACUUCAUGGUACAGGAUAGACCUGUUUCAGAUAUAACUCCAGAGGUUCAAAGUUUUAAUACUGAUAAAUGGAGCUUUGAUAAACUGAUAUAACACUGACUACAAAUAGUUCUUAAGAGUCUUUAAAUGGAUUUUUUUUUAACCCUUUUACCAUGAUGUAAAUCCAUUCCAGCUGUUUUACAGAUACCUACAGGCUCCUGGGAAAAGUUUUGCUACUGCACCAAGAAAUCUGGUCUGAUGAAAACGAACAAUCUCCAGAGCCCAUUUCUGACCCCACCUAUUUUUCGAGCAUAUUUUGCAGAUUCACUCUUCCCGCCUGACCUCUAGAGAAACAGCAGAUGCCAUGGCUUUCUGUACUCCUGAUUUGGGGUGCCAUUUCCCCCCAAGCUCCUGGAACACCACUGCUGCAACCUGCCUCCUCAGCUCCCUCAAGGAACGUAUGCCUGAGAUCUCCCGUCGUGCGUGACUCCUGGUUCCCCCUUUCCACUUCACCCCUUGUCAGCUUGAAGUAGUCUUGAGAAUCCAGUGCCCUUGUUCCCCCACUUGCUCACAUAACUCACCUCUUUUUAUAAUAAUCAAAGUGGAGGAAUGUUAAUAUUCUGAUCUGCCCCUUGAAAUCCCACCCCUUGGUGCCACCCUGCGUCCUGACACAAAAACCUCAUUCUAAGGAAAAGCUCCUCCCCUUCCUCUCUGUCUUCUGCUUUUCCUCCCAUGAGGUGUGCGCCCUUGACCUCUCUCUCUCCCUCUUCUUCUCUCUCUUUCCUAUCUUUCUCCUCAUCUCUCUGUUAUAAUAAACUCUCCACGUGGACGCAGCA